GACGAACGCUGGCGGCGUGCUUAACACAUGCAAGUCGAGCGGUAAGGCCCUUCGGGUACACGAGCGGCGAACGGGUGAGUAACACGUGGGUGACCUGCCUCUAGCUCUGGGAUAAGCCUGGGAAACUGGGUCUAAUACCGGAUAUGACUCCACGGCGCAUGUUGUGGGGUGGAAAGCCUUGUGUGGCUAGAGAUGGGCCCGCGGCCUAUCAGCUUGUUGGUGGGGGAUGGCCUACCAAGGCGACGACGGGUAGCCGGCCUGAGAGGGCGACCGGCCACACUGGGACUGAGACACGGCCCAGACUCCUACGGGAGGCAGCAGUGGGGAAUCUUGCGCAAUGGGCGAAAGCCUGACGCAGCGACGCCGCGUGAGGGAUGACGGCCU
rnacentral:rRNA from 1 species